AUGUUUUCUGACAGCAGGGCUCCAGCGCCCGGGGAGCAGAAAGGCUUCAAGCCCCACGCCCCUCACUUCAUCCCCUGGCUGCGCAAUAGUCUGAAGCCGCACCACAGCAGUGACCUGGGGCUCAACGGACCAUACAAAUCCACCUCAGAGGCCCGCAACAGCCUGACCCCGCUGGAGAAAGGCAAAGGAAUCGGGUUCUUCUCCAUUCAGGGAAAGGACCGAGCGAAGAAGGGGGAGCUUCGGUGUAAUGGCGUGGGGAUGGCGAGAAUGCUGCCAGUGGUGCUGAGGGGGCACCACAUUCUGCCAGGGAGUCUGGGGAAGCAGAGGGAGGAUAGUCCUGCCAGAUGGAACCAGUCUCCAGAGCUUCACCCAGACUCCAACACGCAGAUGAGUCCAGGGGACGGGCCGCAGGGUCUGAGCAACAGCUCCACGCCCCCGAAGGAGAACCACACCUUUGUUAGGAACCACAGCAGUCACCCGAGCCUCCCUCAGCUGCAGAAUGACGGGACCAGCACCUCAAUAAGGAAAUAUGGGCCGCUAGUGGGACCCCCUCCUGCUCCUGUUCAGGAGGAGCCAAACUGUAAGGUGCCUGCUGUGGUGGGCACGGAGGACAGGAGGGGGAAGGUGUGGGACUACGGCAGCAGUACCACCUACCGCCAAAGAGACCUUCAUUCAUCCAGCUGGGUGAGCUCAGACACUCAGGGACUAAUAGAGAGGCAGCACGGCUUCACCUCCAGCUUCAGCUACAUCAAACAACAGAGCAGGAACUCCCAGAGCCAGAGAGACCUGACAACGCUGAGGGAACCACCUGUGGAGGGUUUCAACGGGCCUCUCAAUGGAGUCAUCUUCUCUACUGAGGUUCCUCUGAGAGGCCUGGGCUGCACCACAACUCUACGAGGCCCCAGGAAACCCAGACCAAGCUCGGAGGGUAUUGGGGUCCUGGGUCAGAACCAGACAUGGGUCCAAUACAGGCCAACCAUCGAAGGGGAGUCACAGAGGAAGGAAGCAGGUUGCAGCAGGAAGGUGGUUCGAAACCAGAUAAAACGAGUGGUGGACAACCUGGAGCAGGUUCUUACAGCACUGAGGGACGUUCACCAGGAAAUGAAAGAGGUGGUGCAGCAGAUUGACAAUCUAACUUCAUCCAUUGAUCUGAAUGAGGAGGAGCAGCAGAGGACUGCAGGAGGCGACAUGGCCAAGCCAACCAGCGACAGCAGCUCCAGUUCAGGUUCCAGCUCCAGCGAGGUGACAGUAGGCAGCACCCAUCAGAGGCUUUCAGAGCCUGAAAACGGGCCAGGAACUACAGACUCAUCUGGCACCCUCAGGAGAGAUCAUCAUAGCAGGAGCCAAUCUCCACCAAAUGUGCUGCUGUGCCCAGUAAACUCUGCGUUUUCAUCAGAGAGGAGUCGAACUCUUCGGUUCACAUGCAGUCUGGGGUCUUCUCCCAGACAAGGUGGGCAGCUGCAGUACAACAAUAAUCUUCCUCCAUCUAACCGCCCUCAACUUCAAAACCUCACCUCUCAUGACCUCGCCUUGUCUCCUCAAAGAAACCUCCCUGUUCGGCCUCCCACUCCUGGUCUCUCCCCUCUAACUGUAAACCUCCAUCACCCCAACGGCCCUGGUUCUCAGCCUCCCUCCCCUGGGCCUUCCUCCUGUAUCAGGGUCAGCCCUGUCUCCCCUCCCUUCCCUCUGUCCCCAAAGCCUCACCCACCCCCCACCCGUAGCCCGUCUGUCAUCAUAGAGAACAAAAUCGCAUCUUAUCAGACCCCACAAAGUGACCACCCAUCUGGUGUUCAGUGUUCUCCAUCAUCGAUUCAGCCUCCCCUUGCCAGCUGCCCACCCACCAACUCAGAAACUCAAACUGUGUCCAACAAUGACAGAGAGCGGAGAACAUCCUCAGCAGGGUCUGUUCAUAGACCUUCACAGGUGUGCACUGCCCCCACAGCCACAGCUAAACCACCAACAGCACAAGGCCGCAGAGGUCGCAAGCCUCCUCCGUACCCCCACCACAGACCCUCUGAGCACACAAAGAAAGUGAAGGAGCCCCGCAAAGCUCCUCCGUACCCUGAGAAAAGGAGGCUGCUCUCGACCACAGUGUGA
rnacentral:lncRNA from 1 species